CUGUGACAGGGGUGCCGGUGGAUAUGUAUGGCGGGACGAGUUACCAGUGCUCUCUCAUGCGGGCAGACGAUGGCGGACUUGGAUUCCUCUUCCUGUCAGACUGGAGCGCGCAAUUGUGGAAGAGGAAGACCGGUUGUGAUGGCGCCGCGUCAUGGGUACUACUACGAAGAACUAUUGAACUGGACAAGCUCCUUUCCCUGAAUCUACGUAGAGAGAAGGUGUCCGGGAUUGUAGGAUUUGCGGAAGAAAACAAUGUGGUGUUCCUGUCGACGGCUCUUGGUGUCUUCAUGAUCCAGCUCGAUUCAUUGCAGUUCAAGAAGAUUUCGGAAACCAACAGCUUUUGUGUCUAUCAUCCAUUUGAAAGUGUCUAUGCGGCAGAUAUGGGAAUUGGUGGUGAUCAUAAUGGGGCUGAACUUUUGCACAGUACCUAAGAUGAUUGGUUGGAUAAAUAUGCUAUCAUGAUGUACUGGAUUGAGUAGGUAUGAGGAGAUGCAGAAGCGGCUUCUUGGUAUAUGCUUCUUGAUGUGUAGGCUCUUUCCUGUGCGCGCGGAGAUUGACCAUCUAUGUUGCAUGUGCCGGUGAACUGUGGUGUGGAAUUAAACGCUUCUGUUUAUUGUCUGGAACUUUUAUCUGGUCCAGCCUUGC